CUACGGGCCGCAGCAGUUAGGAAUAAUCUACAAUGCGCGAAAGCGUGAUAGUUUGAGCCAGAGUGUUUUUCAAUUGAAAGACUUUUGUGAAAUGUAAAAAGUUUCACGAAUAAGGACUGGGUAAGACUAGUGCCAGCCGCCGCGGUAAUACUAGCGGUCCAAGUCGCAACCAUUUUUAUUGGGUCUAAAACAUCCGUAGCUUGCUUGACAAGUCUUCUGUGAAAUUUUACGUCUAAAACGUAGAGCGCGCAGAAGGUACUAUCAAGCUAGAGACCGGAAGACGUAAGAAGUACAUUCAGAGUAGCGGUUAAAUGUGUUAAUCCUGGAUGGACUAACAAGAGCGAAGGCAUCUUACGAGGACGGUUCUGACAGUAAGGGAUGAAAGCUAGGGGCGCAAAUGGGAUUAGAUACCCUUGUAGUC
rnacentral:rRNA from 1 species